rnacentral:rRNA from 1 species
GACGAACGCUGGCGGCGUGCUUAACACAUGCAAGUCGAGCGGUAAGGCCCUUUCGGGGGUACGACGAGCGGCGAACGGGUGAGUAACACGUGGGUGACCUGCCCUCAGCUCUGGGAUAAGCCUGGGAAACCGGGUCUAAUACUGGAUAUGACUCCAUGACGCAUGUUGUGGGGUGGAAAGCCUUGUGCGGCUGAGGAUGGGCCCGCGGCCUAUCAGCUUGUUGGUGGGGUGANGGCCUACCAAGGCGACGACGGGUAGCCGGCCUGAGAGGGCGACCGGCCACACUGGGACUGAGACACGGCCCACGACUCCUACGGGAGGCAGCAGUGGGGAAGUCUUGCGCAAUGGGCGAAAGCCUGACGCAGCGACGCCGCGUGAGGGAUGACGGCCU